GCCGCAUGGCCAGGCGGAAGGCAGUGCGGCUCCCCAGGCGGGGGAAGCCGGGUGAGGCACUGCCUCUGCUGCGACCGGUAGGGGGAGCCCAGGACUGCUGAUCAUGGGGCCGCGCUUCGGAGGUACAUGGUGGCAACGAAGGGUCCCUGGCAAGGCAGGUGGGCCAGGCUGGUCGCACUUUUGGGAGCAAGGAGGUACGACCCGG